UGAGAACUGUAUUCCAUAGACU
rnacentral:miRNA from 1 species